rnacentral:rRNA from 1 species
AUUGAACGCUGGCGGCAGGCCUAACACAUGCAAGUCGAGCGGAUGAAGGGAGCUUGCUCCUGGAUUCAGCGGCGGACGGGUGAGUAAUGCCUAGGAAUCUGCCUGGUAGUGGGGGAUAACGUCCGGAAACGGGCGCUAAUACCGCAUACGUCCUGAGGGAGAAAGUGGGGGAUCUUCGGACCUCACGCUAUCAGAUGAGCCUAGGUCGGAUUAGCUAGUUGGUGGGGUAAAGGCCUACCAAGGCGACGAUCCGUAACUGGUCUGAGAGGAUGAUCAGUCACACUGGAACUGAGACCAGGUCCAGACUCCUACGGGAGGCAGCAGUGGGGAAUAUUGGACAAUGGGCGAAAGCCUGAUCCAGCCAUGCCGCGUGUGUGAAGAAGGUCUUCGGAUUGUAAAGCACUUUAAGUUGGGAGGAAGGGCAGUAAGUUAAUACCUUGCUGUUUUGACGUUACCAACAGAAUAAGCACCGGCUAACUUCGUG